GACGAACGCUGGCGGCGUGCUUAACACAUGCAAGUCGAACGGAAAGGCCUGCUUUCCCUUGUGGAUUGCGGGUACUCGAGUGGCGAACGGGUGAGUAACACGUGAGUGAUCUGCCCCCAACUUGGGUAUAAGCCUGGGAAACUGGGUCUAAUUCCCGAUAGGACUGCAGGGUGGUGCCUGUGGUGGAAAACGAUUUUCUAGUGGUUGGGGAUGAGCUCGCGGCCUAUCAGCUUGUUGGUGGGGUAAUGUCCUACCAAGGCGGCGACGGGUAGCCGGCCUGGGAGGGUGGACGGCCACAUUGGGACUGAGAUACGGCCCAGACUGCUACGGGAGGCAGCAGUGGGGAAUAUUGCACAAUGGGCGGAAGCCUGAUGCAGCGACGCCGCGUGGGGGAUGACGGCCUUCGGGUUGUAAACUCCUUGCGACCGCGAGGAAGCCACCUGGUUGGAAGGGUGGUGACGGUAGUGGUAGAAGAAGCACCGGCUAACUACGUG
rnacentral:rRNA from 1 species